AAGAAGAAAACCUCGGCGUGACGAAACAAUUGCGACUCUUGUCAUCUGGAUUUACGAUUGUUUUUAGUUAUAAAUACAGUGUACUGAAGUAUCUGCUGAGGACCGGUGAUAAAUGCUUAUAGUUCGACCAAAGCCAGGGUAAAUUACUGUGCCUGACGGUGAUUUGAGGGUAUUUCGCUCCUGCUGGUGGGAAGUUUGUUUUGACACGUGAGGACAUAAUGGCUUUCGCAAAUUUGUUCUCUGGACUUUCUUCUAUGGGUGAAGAUGUGAGGAGCCCUGGUGGCGCUUACGUCACAUCCAGCAACAGAAUGGAGAAUGGUUCAAGAGGCAGGAAGAGGAAAACACAGAGAGAGCAGCCCGGCUCGCAGAAGAAGAGAUGUCAUCAAAUCCAGACAGAAGACAACUUUACCUCACGGAACAAAUCCUGCCACAAGCAGGUCACUGAGCGUGAGCGCUCUUUUCCAGGCCAAAAAUAUAACCACAGCUUUAACUCCAGUUACAACAGCAGGCAGCACUGCAAGGGUCAGAGUGAUCAAACUGAAGACCACUGUAAUAUGAAGAAGGAGAUACAUCAAGGAAAGAAGAUCAAGAAGAAAUAUCAGCAACGUCAUAACAGAGGUGCAAAACCAGUGUCAAAAACGCAGGUGAAACCAAAAUUCAUGACUCAGGAAUUUAAGGACCAGAAUGCCUUGUUGGUGGACGGCCGUCUACUGUGUCGACAUUUUCUUUCUGGACGAUGCAUUAAGGGGGAUAAAUGCCAGUUGGAGCAUUGUCAAGGCUACAAUGGCCUCAUCAAAGAAGUUUGCAAAUUUUAUGUCCAAGGAUUCUGCUUGAAAGGAGAGAGCUGCAUAUACUUGCACAAGUCGUUUCCAUGCAAGUUUUUCCACAGGAAAGGAAAAUGUUUGCUAGAAGGAAACUGCAGGUUCUCCCAUGAGCCACUUAAUGACAUCACUGAAAAGCUGUUGGAUGAGGCAUUAAAACAGGAGAAAUACUUUUACGAACUUGCAAAUAAAAAUAAAGAGGAGUCGUCAGAACAGCAGGCAAACAAAGAGGACACCAAACCUGCUGAGGAACAAAAGAACCCCGAUGUACUCACACAACCUCUCAGGCCCAGCUUUUACAACAGCACCGAUACUGAGAAGGAACCCCAUGAGCAUCUCGAUGUAACAGAACAGCGUGAAUUAGACGCUGACCAACCUCACAGCUCUUCAGUAAACACUCAGAACCAACAGGAGCCCGUUUGUUACUCGGUGGAAGCCGUGCUUGGACCUCAGCUGUCCAGAACUUUCUUCAGUUUCUCUAAAACUCUUGUAAGUCAGGAUUCUUCUUCUGUCUGUGACCCUCACACUUCUUCUGACAGAACUUACGCAAACCAAAGCAAAUUCCCCAACUCUGUUGAAGCCGUCUUCAGCUCCUAUACAUCAGCAGAUGAUUCCUCUAUAGGCCAAACACCUGAUCUUCACAGUGGGCAGACUGCUUUUUACGCACAAGUUAUUUCUGAAAAAAUCAAAGUUCCUUUUAGAAAAGGGAAGCCACCUCCAAAUAUCUGCAUUGUAGAUCAUGGAUCUAAAGAAACAAUGCCAAAGAACUUGUUGUCGCCUGAGGAGAAAGAUGGCCUAAAUUCAGACUCCGUACCUGUUCUGUCUCAUACAUCAGAGGAAGUGUUGGAAGAGCAGAAAACUCACACCAUACAAGAGUUAUUGUAUCCAGAGAGGUCUGCGUCUUCCAGAAGUAGAGAAAUCAAGCGUUUGCUCGCAGGGACCAAGUGCCACGAAGGUUCGGCGUGUCCUCCAAAACAUCCCACCCAGCUGAAGCCGAAUCUUUUUAAAGGAAGAGCCGCUGUUCCAGUUGAACCUGUAACUACCUGUAAUAAGAGAAGAGAUGCUGCUGAUGAUGCUGUUCAUGACUUUCAACUCUCUGAGAUCCUCCCAAAUUCCAAAAAGAAACACUCAAAUGUCCACACUGGUACAGGAAAACAUGCUUCUUCUAACACCUUAAAAUCCUGCAGCAAAACAGCAAAUCUGGGAGAUUUUUCAGCUGAACGUAAUGAAACCCAGAAAACACCAUUUAGUAACCUUUUUGCAAGCACUCUCACUAAUAGUGUUGCACCAGGAUCAGACUCUUCGACUGCAGCUAUGAAACCUCAGCAGUCUGAGGAUGUAAGAAUUCCCUCCUUGCCCUUCUUCAGCCUCUUUGCAGCGCCUCUUAGUGAGAAUCCACCUCGUUUUCCAUGUUCAGAGACUGAAACCGCGGACUCUGCCGCUCCUCUUGGUAAGCCGCAGUCGGCUGAGAAUGCAGCAUCAAACUCCAAACAGAGGGACUCUGAUCGGAGGUUCUUCCCAUCCCAGGUUAGAACAUCUCACAGGCAAAUGUCUUCUGAAUCAUUCCAGAGCUCCAAAACCGAAAACAAUGCUCUGAAACCGCCGUCAGCUACAGUUUGCAACACGGCAUCCGGCUCUCCCUGUGAUCCGUCUUCAAGUCGGACUCAUCAGAAUCUGCCUGACGUUUCGUCCUCGAGAGAGGCUUCAGCACCUUCAGUCCUGAAAUCCCUCUUUAUGCAGCUGAGGCCGUAUCAAGAGGACGGAGGACAGGUCACAGGUCAGAGCAGAGUCCAAUCAGGUUUGAUUUCAGAAGAUUAAAAGAAGAAACAACAGAACAGAAGAAAAACCUGGACAAAAGAAGAAGAUGAUGAUGGCAGUUUGGUACUUUGGUGACUUUAUGUCUUUUUUGGCAGUCCAUUGAAACACCAUCCAGACUCCAGCCAGACCAGCAGCCAAGCUCAAUCUGUCACCUGUCCAGGUGUAGGUGGGGCUCAGGUGAGCAACUCUGGCCCGUAUUGCUUACCAUUCAACCCACUGGCUCCACUGACUGUGGAGGGAGCCCCACCGCAGACGGAGAGCUGGUUAAUACAAAAGUCGCUGUAAAAACAAAUACCUUUUUAAGACUUUAUUUUAAAACCUAAAGACCUGUGAUGGAUAUUUGUUUUCAUACAGAUAUUCAGUGCAUUAUUAAUUUAUUGAAGUAAAACAUUAAAUCCUAAUAAACUAUGGGGAACAAAAAACA